rnacentral:rRNA from 1 species
CAGUCGCCGCGGGAAUACGUAGGGUGCGAGCGUUAAUCGGAAUUACUGGGCGUAAGGCGUGCGCAGGCGGUUGUGUAAGACAGGUGUGAAAUCCCCGGGCUCAACCUGGGAAUGGCAGUGGAUACUGGCUCGCUAGAGUGUGUCAGAGGAUGGUGGAAUUCCCGGUGUAGCGGUGAAAUGCGUAGAGAUCGGGAGGAACAUCAGUGGCGAAGGCGGCCAUCUGGGACAACACUGACGCUGAGGCACGAAAGCGUGGGGAGCAAACAGGAUUAGAUACCCCGGUAGUCCCUGUCUCUUAUAC